rnacentral:rRNA from 1 species
UACAGAGGGGGCAAGCGUUGUUCGGAAUUACUGGGCGUAAAGGGCGCGUAGGCGGCCCGCUAAGUCGAACGUGAAAUCCCCGAGCUCAACUCGGGAACUGCGUCCGAUACCGGUGGGCUUGAAUCCGGGAGAGGGAUGCGGAAUUCCAGGUGUAGCGGUGAAAUGCGUAGUUAUCUGGAGGAACACCGGUGGCGAAGGCGGCAUCCUGGACCGGCAUUGACGCUGAGGCGCGAAAGCUAGGGGAGCAAACGGG